rnacentral:rRNA from 1 species
UACACUCCUGCGGGAGGCAGCAGUGGGGAAUUUUGGACAAUGGGCGAAAGCCUGAUCCAGCAAUGCCGCGUGAGUGAAGAAGGCCUUCGGGUUGUAAAGCUCUUUUGUCAGGGAAGAAACGGUGAGAGCUAAUAUCUUUUGCUAAUGACGGUACCUGAAGAAUAAGCACCGGCUAACUACGUGCCAGCAGCCGCGGUAAUACGUAGGGUGCAAGCGUUAAUCGGAAUUACUGGGCGUAAAGCGUGCGCAGGCGGUUUUGUAAGUCUGAUGUGAAAUCCCCGGGCUCAACCUGGGAAUUGCAUUGGAGACUGCAAGGCUAGAAUCUGGCAGAGGGGGGUAGAAUUCCACGUGUAGCAGUGAAAUGCGUAGAUAUGUGGAGGAACACCGAUGGCGAAGGCAGCCCCCUGGGUCAAGAUUGACGCUCAUGCACGAAAGCGUGGGGAGCAAACAGGAUUAGAUACCCCGGUAGUCC